rnacentral:lncRNA from 1 species
ACUGGAUAAUGUGCGGUCCAACGUGGAUGAGACAUUCCACCGCAUUAACCUGUUAAGCAAGCAGGAUCUCCGCAAAAUAAUGAGGGAUGCCAGAGUCUCGAAGACCGAGCGGCUGCACGAUAAUGACUAUGUGAGCGUGCAACUCUGGGUUGAGAGGAUGCAUAGUGAAAAGGAAAACCCAUUGCUCUUCUUUAAACACCAAGGACAACCUGACAAAAAGUGACAUUUUUUUAGAGAAAAAAAUGAGGACCUUUUGGAUGACAGAGAUUUUAUGCUAGUCAUCAUGACCACACCACAACAGGAGCUUUUCAAGAGGCUUGGAACUGAUCGUAUAUGUGUCGAUGGAACACAUGGAACAGCAGGUAAAGAUUUAAAAGAAAUAACGCCUAUAGCAAGCUCCGUUUGUUAUGGACUUCGAGCAUGGUCUAAGGCAAACGGCCUCAUCCUCAAUGAAACCAAAACAAAGCCAUCGUCGGGCCCAUGCAG